AGUGAACGCUGGCGGUAGGCCUAACACAUGCAAGUCGAACGAGUGGCGGACGGGUGAGGAAUGCAUCGGAAUCCACUCUUUCGUGGGGGCUAACGCAGGGAAACUUACGCUAAUACCGCAUAAGAAAGAAUGCGCCGAUGCCCGAUUAGCUAGUUGGCGGGUUAAGAGCUCAUCAAGGCGACGCUCGGUAGCUGGUCUGAGAGGAUGAUCAGCCACACUGGAACAGAGACACGAUCCAGACACCUAAGGGGGGCAGCAGUGGGGAAUAUUGGACAAUGGGGGAAAGCCGGAUCCAGCCAUACCGCGUGAGUUAAGAAGGCCUUCGGGUUGUAAAACCCUUUUGUUGGGAAAGCGGUACCCAAAGAAUAAGCACCGGCUAACUACGUGCCAGCCGCCGCGGUAAUAC
rnacentral:rRNA from 1 species